rnacentral:tRNA from 2 species
GGGGGUGUAGCUCAGUUGGUUAGAGCGCCUGCCUGUCACGCAGGAGGUCGCGGGUUCGAGCCCCGUCACUCCCGCCA